UUCAGCCCUAGGGAAUAUGCAAAUUGGAGUCAUAGUAGGAAAAGAGUAUCUUGGAGAAUUGAGGAACUUAUGUUGAACAACGCAUUCUCGGAGCACAUGCGCAAUGUGGUGGCUAUUCUCGAGCCUACGUAUGUAAUGUUGAGGACGGUCGAUAAUGAGACAUCCAUCGAUGGGAUCGUUGUAUGCGUUUAUACAGUAGAUGAAAGAUGUCAUCCAAGCUAAAGCACCCGAGGCAUAUAAAUGGGUGCAUACAAUAAUCGACGAUCGUUUGAAAAAAGACUCUUUCUUACCAACUUCAUCAGGCAGGUUUAAGCAUACUUCCCGAAUCCCAAGUACCAAUACAGCCAGAAAGUCUACGAAGAUAAUACAUUGAAGAACGUUGUACAUGAUGUGUAUAUUAAGUUAUUCCCCCACUCUUCGGAGAAACGCGCCUUUGGUAAUGAGAUUAUCAGAUUCCGCGAUACUGUUGGGAUAUUCAGAUGUGAGGCCGCGGUGAGGUCAAGGACUCAAAUGAUGGCAUGUGAAUGGUGGGCCAUGUAGGGGAGUGAUUGUAAGUUUUUACAGUGGUUGGUUGUCCGUGUGCUCGCACAAGCGGUGUCCUCCUCACCUUAUGAAAGGAAUUGGAGCACAUUCUCCCUCAUUCAUACAAAUAAGCGCAAC